UUAGUGCAAUGAAGAAAAAGUGGGUGAAGGAUGAAUGAAAGCAGCAGGCACCGAAUAAUUUAAGAUGGGGACAUGCGAAGAAGCAGAGAAAGGAAAGAACUGAACUUGAAGGUCAAAGAAGAGAGAAAAAUUAACUUUAAACAGGGAAGUCUUGAAAAGCUUCCCACUUGGUGAACAUCUGUUCAAACUGUUCCGAAGUUGUACCUGUCAUGUCCGACAGAGUCUCCAGUUCUCGGGCAGCAGAAGGCCCCAGAGCGAUGGUGUGGAUGAUGGCACCGCUGCGAGAGACGGCCUCAAAGCAGGAACGUAUUCCAUUAUCUUCCCCAUCUGUCAGCAAUACGAUCUCAGAACCGGAAGUGCUCUGGUCACUGGAGUCCAGGAAACAGGGCAAGGGAGAAGGUGGAAAGAGGCUUAGAGCUGGAGCUGUGAGGCGCCCUCUACUGGCCAUGACGUGGUCACUGCACUAUGAACUCAGCUCUGGAUACCUGCACAAGAUCAAGCCAGGCAACAUUUAUCCAGCACCAAGCACACCACUCGCCUUCUGGACUUGAGCAAUGAAAAUGUAGGUGGAGGAGGGGCU
rnacentral:lncRNA from 1 species